AACUCUGUGGCGCAACGGUAGCGCGUUUGACUCCAGAUCAGAAGGUUGCGUGUUCAAAUCACGUCCGGGUCA
rnacentral:tRNA from 1 species